rnacentral:tRNA from 1 species
GCCACUGUGGCAUAAUGGUUUGAGCAUUGGACUAGAACUGUGGAGACCAGGGUUCGAAUCCUUGCUCGGUUA